UACGGGGGGGGCAAGCGUUGUUCGGAAUUACUGGGCGUAAAGGGCGCGUAGGCGGCUUUUCAAGUCGGGCGUGAAAUCUCCGGGCUUAACCCGGAAGGGUCGUUCGAUACUGUCGGGCUCGAGUCCGGAAGAGGAGUGUGGAAUUCCUGGUGUAGCGGUGAAAUGCGCAGAUAUCAGGAGGAACACCGGUGGCGAAGGCGGAUCUCUGGGCCUUACCUGACGCUGAGGAGCGAAAGCGUGGGGAGCGAACGGG
rnacentral:rRNA from 1 species